UACGUAGGGUGCGAGCGUUUGUCCGGAAUUAUUGGGCGUAAAGGGCUCGUAGGCGGUUUGUCGCGUCGGCUGUGAAAACCUGGGGCUUAACUCCGGGCCUGCAGUGGGUACGGGCAGACUAGAGUGCGGUAGGGGAGAUUGGAAUUCCGUGGUGUAGCGGUGGAAUGCGCAGAUAUCAGGAGGAACACCGAUGGCGAAGGCAGAUCUCCUGGGCCGUAACUGACGCUGAGGAGCGAAAGCAUGGGGAGCGAACAGG
rnacentral:rRNA from 1 species